rnacentral:rRNA from 1 species
AGUGAACGCUGGCGGUAGGCCUAACACAUGCAAGUCGAACGGCAGCACCGUAAGAGCUUGCUCUGACGGUUGGCGAGUGGAGGACGGGUGCGGAAUACAUCGGAACCUACUUUUUCGUGGGGGAUAACGUAGGGAAACUUACGCUAAUACCGCAUACGACCUACGGGUGAAAGCAGGGGAUCUUCGCAGCUUGUGCGAUUCAAUGAGCCGAUGGCGGAUUAGCUAGUUGGCGGGGUAAAGGCCUACCAAGGCGACGAUCCGUAGCUGGUCUGAGAGGAUGAUCGGCCACACUGGGACUGAGACACGGCCCAGACUCCUACGGGAGGCAGCAGUAGGGAAUAUUGGACAUUGGACGCAAGCCUGAUCCAGCCAUGCCGCGUGAGUGAAGAAGGCUUUCGGGUUGUAAAGCCCUUUUGUUGGGAAAGAAAAGCAGCAGGUUAAUACCCCGCUGUUCUGACGGUACCCAAAGAAUAAGCACCGGCUAACUUCGUG